UACGUAGGUGGCAAGCGUUGUCCGGAUUUAUUGGGUUUAAAGGGUGCGUAGGCGGUUUUAUAAGUCAGUGCUGAAAUAUCCCGGCUUAACCGGGAGGGUGGCAUUGAUACUGUAGGACUUGAGUAAAGUUGAGGUUGGCGGAAUUGACGGUGUGGCGGUGAAAUGCUUAGAUAUCGUCAAGAACACCUAUAGCGAAGGCAGCUAACUAAACUUUAACUGACGCUGAGGCACGAAAGUGUGGGGAUCAAACAGG
rnacentral:rRNA from 1 species